rnacentral:tRNA from 1 species
GCCCGAGUGGCGGAAUGGUAGACGCAGGGGAUUCAAAAUCCCCCGCUCGUAAGGGCGUGUCGGUUCGAGUCCGACCUUGGGCACCA